GUAGGGAAUCUUCCACAAUGGACGCAAGUCUGAUGGAGCAACGCCGCGUGAGUGAAGAAGGGUUUCGGCUCGUAAAGCUCUGUUGUUAAAGAAGAACGUGGGUGAGAGUAACUGUUCACCCAGUGACGGUAUUUAACCAGAAAGCCACGGCUAACUACGUGCCAGCAGCCGCGGUAAUACGUAGGUGGCAAGCGUUAUCCGGAUUUAUUGGGCGUAAAGCGAGCGCAGGCGGUCUUUUAAGUCUAAUGUGAAAGCCUUCGGCUCAACCGAAGAAGUGCAUUGGAAACUGGGAGACUUGAGUGCAGAAGAGGACAGUGGAACUCCAUGUGUAGCGGUGAAAUGCGUAGAUAUAUGGAAGAACACCAGUGGCGAAGGCGGCUGUCUGGUCUGUAACUGACGCUGAGGCUCGAAAGCAUGGGUAGCGAACAGGAUUAGAAACCCGUGUAGUCC
rnacentral:rRNA from 1 species